rnacentral:rRNA from 1 species
UACGGGGGGAGCAAGCGUUGUUCGGAUUUACUGGGCGUAAAGGGCGCGUAGGCGGUGCGGUACGGUUUCGGUGAAAUCCCUCGGCCCAACCGAGGAACAGCCGGAGCUACGGCCGGACUAGACGGCAUCAGGGGACAGUGGAAUUCCCGGUGUAGCGGUGAAAUGCGCAGAUAUCGGGAGGAACACCAAUGGCGAAGGCAGCUCGCUGGGACGUUACUGACGCUGAGACGCGAAAGCGUGGGGAGCAAACAGG